rnacentral:rRNA from 1 species
UACGUAGGGUGCGAGCGUUGUCCGGAAUUACUGGGCGUAAAGAGCUCGUAGGUGGUUUGUCGCGUUGUUCGUGAAAUCUCACGGCUUAACUGUGAGCGUGCGGGCGAUACGGGCAGACUGGAGUACUGCAGGGGAGACUGGAAUUCCUGGUGUAGCGGUGGAAUGCGCAGAUAUCAGGAGGAACACCGGUGGCGAAGGCGGGUCUCUGGGCAGUAACUGACGCUGAGGAGCGAAAGCGUGGGGAGCGAACAGG